rnacentral:rRNA from 1 species
GAUGAACGCUGGCGGCGUGCCUAAUACAUGCCAGUCGAGCGAACAGAUAAGGAGCUUGCUCCUUUGACGUUAGCGGCGGACGGGUGAGUAACACGUGGGUAACCUACCUAUAAGACUGGGAUAACUUCGGGAAACCGGAGCUAAUACCGGAUAACAUUUGGAACCGCAUGGUUCUAAAGUGAAAGAUGGUUUUGCUAUCACUUAUAGAUGGACCCGCGCCGUAUUAGCUAGUUGGUAAGGUAACGGCUUACCAAGGCAACGAUACGUAGCCGACCUGAGAGGGUGGUCGGCCACACUGGAACUGAGACACGGUCCAGACUCCUACGGGAGGCAGCAGUAGGGAAUCUUCCGCAAUGGGCGAAAGCCUGACGGAGCAACGCCGCGUGAGUGAUGAAGGGUUUCGGCUCGUAAAACUCUGUUAUUAGGGAAGAACAAAUGUGUAAGUAACUGUGCACGUCUUGACGGUACCUAAUCAGAAAGCCACGGCUAACUACGUG